GUGGGGCUUCUGCCAGGGACAGAGGGCGCUGGAAGGGAGCUGGAGGAGGAGAGCUUCUUCCCCAGACAACAGACGUUUGGAGUGGAAAUAAGAGAACUGAAGUAUUGGAAAUGGGAGCACCGAAUCUACAGCUCCAUUCAUUCAUUCCAGACCAGUAACAGCUUGUGGAGUCCAC